rnacentral:misc_RNA from 1 species
AAGUUGUAACAAGGUUUCCGUAGGUGAACCUGCGGAAGGAUCAUUACAAUACGUUACUUCACGUAUCAACCCAACUGUUGAACUGUUUUAAAGCGUCCGAUAGGAAAGAGAUGGGUUAUGAGGAAUCGAUGGCUUUGGAAGCUACGCGCUUCGGUCGGUUUCUUUUUUCUGGUUCUUUGUGACCGGAAGCCCUUUUUUCCUAGUUCGCGUAUUUUAUUCAAUCAUUUUUUUUACCCCUUUCACCAAACUAUUAUUUUAAACAACUGUUGAACUUAUGUGAUUGCUGAAAAGCGAUCUCUUUAUUUCUUUACGAAACGUAAGAACAACUCUUAACAACGGAUAUCUUGGCUCUC